CCUACGGGUGGCAGCAGUGAGGAAUAUUGGUCAAUGGGCGUAAGCCUGAACCAGCCAAGUCGCGUGAGGGAUGACGGUUCUAUGGAUCGUAAACCUCUUUUAUAAGGGAAUAAACUGCGGGACGUGUCCCGUUUUGUAUGUACCUUAUGAAUAAGGAUCGGCUAACUCCGUGCCAGCAGCCGCGGUAAUACGGAGGAUCCUAGCGUUAUCCGGAUUUAUUGGGUUUAAAGGGUGCGUAGGCGGCCUGUUAAGUUAGCGGUGAAAGCCUGUGGCUCAACAUUAGAAUUGCCGAUGAUACUGAGCGGCUAGAGUAUGUUUGCGGCAGGCGGAAUGCGUGGUGUAGCGGUGAAAUGCUUAGAGAU
rnacentral:rRNA from 1 species